AAUAACUCAAUGCGAAAUUGGAAUUUCAUCACAAUGAAGAUGAAACUCUCAAUUAGCAGAGGUUGCCCUUAGUGAGGGUAUGAAUCAACCAGGUGAGUUGUGUUCUCUAUUCAUCUAAUGUGUUCUCUAUUCUUCCUUUAGGUUGUCCGACUGCAUCUGCCGCUGCUCCAUCAAAGGGUUUGGUAUAAAGCUUGGUAAAUCUCAAAAGACAAAUCAGUUUUUGGAAUCAUUGAAAGCAGAAGGUGGGGUCAUUCUUGAAGAUGUCCCCUUUGCAGUUUAUAAUGAUGGUUGCUGCAAGUUCAGUGGGAGAGGAGCUCUUCUAUAGGGCUGCAGUUCAGAUCUGUCAAAAGCAUUUGCUGGUACAACCAAACUGGAAAAGAUUUUAGAUAUUUUGAAUGCUGGGAAGUUGUUUUAUACGCUGUCUACCUGGGAGCUUGCAUUGGCAGGGUAACACACACCCUCUCCCUCUAUCUCUAAAACUGUUGUCAUGCUUUCAAGUUAAUGCUACCAAGAUAGAUGUCAAUAUUCCACAUACUAAUCUAAAACUUUUUAUUUUUAAAUUGAUGAGGAAGUAUAUAGGGGCAGUUGCAUUCAAUAACAUCACAAGGUUGGCAUUUCAGUUUUUCUGUUGAUGAUUUUUAGUUUUUCAUUUUACUGAGCAAAAUGGGAAAAAGUGUCUUCAAGAAGAUGUUGGUGACAGAAUUCAACAGCAACAUCUGGUGGUGGUUUCCAGUGUGGGGAGAAUGUCAAAGUGUCACACCAGGUCUACUCUCAUUUUCUCUCUACAUUUUGUCUAGGGGCCAUUUAAUAUCAUUGAAAAUAUUAACUUUUGGUCUUAGAGGAUUGGUUGGGAUUUUUUAAAAAGGCCAAGAGUACAAUUAGGAGCAUGGUAACCGAUAAUAGUGGUCAAGAAUGCAGAUCGUUCAUGUGAUUUCUAUGGCAUUAGUUUCGUACUGUCCAUAUGGUUGAUAACUUUUCUUAGGCGUUGCUUGGAAACCGUAGAAAAAUACUUUUUCUCCAUGAAUUUUGUUUGUUUUCUAUACACUGCAAAAUCAUCUGUCAUCUAAGAUUUGUUUAAAUGGUUUUGAAAUUGUAUAUGUAAUCCAUCUCACACAAGGAAGCCCAGCAAAGUAUUAAGGAGGCAGAUUUUGACUUAUUAAUAUCAAGUUCGGAUGUUCAUUCUUCUUGCCCCAUUUCCAUUGAAGGAGAGAGUGCGGAGGAUUUUUCGCGUGAAAGUGAAGCAUUCCCAAGCUUUGACCUUGGAUUUUGACGUUUAAUGCAUCUUAUGAGUCAGUGUCUAGACAGCCUGAUACAUACAUUCGUUCAGCUAUUUUUCGACAUUAGAAAUGAAAAAGGAAAAGCUAAAGCUUCAAUGUUAAUGUAAAUUAUAUAUACAAGGUUAUUAUCUGAAUUAAAAUUAACCCACACAAGGUUAUAUAAUUCUAAUAUUGAACUUUUAUAAUAGAAUUGUGACAUGGAACCAAUACUACCCUAUAGCCAUUGCAGGGUAGUCGAUUGCAGAGACAUUAGAUUUGAAUAAGAUCCUACAUCCAUUGGCAUUGCUUUGUGCAGUGGCCUUGGGAGACUCAAACACAAAAAGUAGUUUAUUAGCAUUCUGUUUUAAGAUCUUUUCUUUUGUAAGUAAAUUGGCAAUUCACAUUCUUGAUUGUUAGGUAUGAUAUGAACAUCGUCUUAUACAUUAUAUGGUUGCGUAUGCUGUUAAAAGUGACGGUCGCUAUAUAGCCUUAGGUAUUUUUACGGCAAUAGCAGCAAGCUCAUCGUUAGGUGAUAGGCACUUCAGCUAAGAAGCAUAUAUUGACAAAAUUUUAUGUUUCAGCGUGUUGCUUUGUCUACUGCUGCUAAGAUGUGAAGAAGCUUUGUUCAGAUGCAGCUGAUUUUGUAAUGGAGGUUAUUGCUGAAUAUCUUCAAAAAAUUGAUCCAAAUUUGGAUGGUGCAAAGAGGGGAUUGGGUUGCUAUUUAUGAUGAAUGUGCCUCUAUCUUAAAUUAGGUGAUAAUAUCUUGGCAAGUUGCUUCUAUUUUAGGUUAAUUGGCAUUACU